rnacentral:misc_RNA from 1 species
AAUAAUAAAUUUACUAAAAAUGAAGUGCUCCAGCAACUAUUGAAACCGAUCUGCAAAUAUACCUCACAAGUCACACCGCAUGAAUUGUAUCUUUAUUGAAAUCUAAAAACUACAUGAAGCAAUAAACAUAAAGCUACCAUUCUUUCAAAGAAUAGAAGCACUCAGCAGAUAAUCUUCAAUUGGACAAAACAAGGAGGAAUUAGCAUGUUCAGACUAAGAGAGAACAUACCAAACAUCUAAUGAUAACGCAACACUAAAAUUCCAUAACAGCGUGAAGAGAUCCAUGAAACAAAUAUGCCAUUCUCCAAGUAUAAAAUGAGUCCGACCUUACAUUAUGCAUUAUUUCUUAGAGAAAAGGAAUAAUAAGUUGAGUAGCACCACCAUCUAUAUUCCUCAAUCAAGCAGUUGUCCCAUUGACAAGCGCAAUAAUCAUCGUACUCAUCCAAUACUGUCAAGACACACACAUUGCAAGAGAGAGCCCAAUUAUAAACCUCAAACCAACAUAAAAUAAAUAGCAAGGGCUGAUCACAACAUGUGAAGCGUGCAGCCAUAUCUAGGACCUAACACAUCAGAAAUGACUAACAUAGCAAACCUAAACAAGUACUACCAAAAAAGUGGAAACUCAAACAUUGCCAAUAUAGGGAGAAGUUGUUUACGGAAUAAGGUCGUCCACCAACAAUACUCAAUUUUAGCACAGGGAGAUCCACCCGACGCUAACUAACAUGCUCAUCACCAAGACUGACACAUUAUGAAUUUUCAGCAUGCCAACAAGAUUUUACGGUA